CGCCUGUUUAACAAAAACAUUUUUAUUAGAAAUUAUUAAUAAUAAGAUCUGCUCAAUGAAAUUAAAUAGCCGCUUAUGUGCUAAGGUAGCAUAAUCAUUUGUCUUUUAAAUGAAGACCAGAACAAAAGAUUUAACAUUUUAAUAAAUAUUUUAUAUUAAAUAAAUUGAAAUUAUCUUAAAAGUAAAAAGACUUUUAUUAAUUAGAAAGACGACAAGACCCUAUUGAACUUAACUUUUGUUAAACUGGGGCAGUUAAUAAAUUAUAAUUUUUAUAAAUUACAAAACAAAAAUUUGAUCUAAUAAUAUUAAUCCAAUGAUCAAGUUACCAUAGGGAUAACAGCGUAAUAUAAUUUUAAAGACCUUAUAUUAAAAUAAGCUUACGACCUCGAUGUUGAAUUAAUAACCUAAUUAAAGCAAAAAUUAAAAAAGGAAGUCUGUUCGACUUUUAAAAAAUUACGUGAUCUGAGUUCAGACCGGGGCGAUAAGGUUUACGACCUCGAUGUUGGAUCAGGACAUCCCAAUGGUGCAGCCGCUAUUAAAGGU
rnacentral:rRNA from 1 species